CUGACCUUGUAAUCCAGCCCCCUCGGCCUCCCAAAGUACUGGGAAUACAGGCAUGAGCCACUGCGCCCAGCCCCUCAUCUGUACAAUUUCUAAGAUAACUCCAAACUUUAAAAUCCUCUUAUUCUUUGAAUAUCCAGAAGUGUUCGACUUUCCACCGCUGAGAAAAGACAGCCUGGAUGUCUGUACUUGGUGGGUGGGUGAGUGUAAUCACUGGGUUGGGUAGGAUGGGAGUUCUUUGAAGCUGUACAUGGGGGUCAGAGGUGGAAGAAAUGAAACGAUCUGUAGAAUUUGAAGCACUCGCUGUGCCCAUAGCCCCCUUGUAAAGAAGAGCCUGCCACAGAUCGCUGCUUCUCAAUAAGGUUUGAUGCUUUUCCUUACAUUAUCCUGCAAACCUAGUCACAGGUGAUUAGACUGGGGCACUGGGGCCUUGGCCUGAUGCACGCCUUGAAGCUUGAACCUGAAGAAGGACAGUGACUUGGAUGAGAACGGGUUCUUUGGGGGCAGUUUUUGUCUCUGGAACAACAUAGAAUCAGGAACUUUUGUGGAAGUAUCUGCCCAGGCAGGUCAUGUCUCAGAUGAUUUCGGUUUGGAGCACGGAGUCUGUAUCUGGCCGUGGCAGUCAGAAGAAGCAGACGCUGGGGCCGUUGUCAGGGAAACAGCAUAAGGCUGAAGAGUCUAGAAGCAGCAGAACCACUAGACAGCCAGAAAGGCUCGCUCUUGAGAGCCACCAAGAGCUAGAACCCAAACAACGUUCCAGUUCUGGAGGACCUGGCCCCGGGAGCAUACUACCCCUUGUUAUAUGUGCUCCUUACACAGGCAACCUGGGAAAGAGUCUAGUUCCUGCCCCUGGAGACCAGCUGCAGCACAGAUGUUGUGUGUAAGCCUUGUCUGGCUCUUUAAAGUUGUGUUAUUUGGGGAUUAUUGGGCAGUGUUAAUUUGCUCUGUUGUAUCAGAGAUGAGGCUGGGCUCCGAGCAGUUUCAGUGACUUACUUGAGACCAAGAGCAGCACAGCUGACGGAGGAUUUUCCACUUCAAAUUUGAGAAGUUGAAAAUACCUGUAGGGCAUUUCUCCUGGGAUCACCACUGCAUCCUUCUCCUCCUGCUCUUUUGUGACCUAGAACUUUGUGCCUUUGAUCACUGUUACUCUGGGUCUUACACAUGGAAAAAGACAACAGAGGCAGUUACUGUGUAUCUGCAGGCCACGGGCAGUGAGGCAGUUAGCAUGGAGUUGUCCUGUGUUUGUGUGAGUUUCUCUGGGGGAUCCUGGUAAGAAGGCAGAGGGUUUCCCUGGCAGACCUGUGUCUGUUCUGUGCCUAGGGCUGCCAGAUGAAAUACAGGAUGCUCAGGGAUUGCACCAGACAUUCUUGGACUAAAAAUAAUUUGUUUAUCUUAAAUGCAAACUUAAUUGGGCAUCCUAUAUUUUUUGUCUGCUAAGUCUGGCAAUUCUGUCAGUGCCACAGUGUGUUAUAGAAGCUGAAGACCACAGGAGACAGGGUCAUCAGGGCCAGAGGAGCAGAGGGGAUCCGUCUCCAGAAGCAGCCUUCAGCCCCCAUCGUAGUUCCUAAGCAGCCCAGGGUCUUGAGUCUGCAAACAGAAGACGGUAUCGGCACAGCCAUGACAGCAGUACGUCUGCAAAGGGCAGGAUGUGAUCACAAUGCGUUGGCAUUUGUGGAACAAGACUCUGAGUCUGCAGAAUUUAAACCGUUUUUAAUCUUUCACAAAAGUGGAAAUGUAGUCAUAGCUUAGAAUGUGAUGAAAAAAAACCCCAAAAACUGAGUACUCUACCUGAAGUGAAAAACCUUCUGAACGUGGCUGUGUGUGCUGUUUGUCCUAUAGUGGCAGUCACGGUGGCCCAAAUUCACAGAAUUGUGUGUGUCACUCCUAGUUUGCAGAUAGCACCAGCUAAAAACACAGUUAGGAGAUAUGGCCUAUAAUUGCCAUUUGUUCUGGCUCUUAGAUCAUCUUAUUUUUAUUCCGAUCUUGUUCCAGAGAUGAGAUUGCUGGCUGCACCCAGCCGACACUCAAUGAUUCACUGUGAAAAAAGAUGGCGUUUUCGCUUGCCCUGUUCCUAGGCUUAGCUUCCAUUGCCUCUGCUUGUCAGCAACAGCUGUUGGCCCCUCUGCCCUUGCGGGACCAGCUCCUCUGGAUGAGCGCUUUCGUCUUUGUCCGACCCUCUUUCAGGACAGCAACUCCCACUUGGUGUUAAACAUCAUUGCUCAUAAAUAGAAGUGCAUUUGGAUUAGCUGUGGCCAAGGUCCAUCUGGUCUCUUUCCUUCUGCAUAGAGUGAUGAAUUGGCUAAAGGACAAGAAGGGAAGGGUAGAGCAGCUGGUGAGGCGGUCACCACAGAACCAAGCCUUGUCUGUGUGCGAUGCAGGUUUCCUUGUGCAGAAUGAGCUUGAGUGACCCGGGAGGCACCCUCCCCUACAGCCCCUUGGCCAUUGUGGGAAGGAAAAGCAGAUUCUAAUACAGGACACAGCAAACAUCAUGUUUGUCUUCAUGUCUGCAAAGCAUGCUGGAUUUGUCCAAGGAAAAAGCAAGUAAAAAUAGAGAAAAAGGAAAUGAGCACUCAUUUUAGAAAUAAUGCUUUUUUUUUUUUUUUUUUGAGACGGGGUUGCCCAGGUCUGAGUGCAGUAGCGUGACCACAGCUCACUGCUGUCUCCAUCUCCCACUGCACCCAGUGAGACAAUGGCUUUUUUUUUUUUUUGAGACAGUCUCACUCUGUUGCCCAGGCUGGAGUGCAGUGGUGUGAUCUUGGCUCACUGAAACCUCUGCCUCCUGGGUUCAAGUGAUUCUCCUGCCUCAGCCUCCCGAGUAGCUGGGAUUACAGGCAUGUGCCACCACACCCAGCUAAUAUUUGUAUUUUUAGUAAAGACAGGGUUUCACCAUGUUGGCCAGGCUGCUGUCUCAAACUCCUGACCUCAAGUGAUCUGCCCGCCUGGACUUCCCAAAGUGCUGGGAUUACAGGUGUGAGCCACCGUGCCCAGCCGAGAUAAUGUAUAUUGAUGAGUAUGUACACAUGUGUGUAUUUUUUCUUUUAGCUAGUGACGAGUCUGGCAGGCCAUAAACACUUAAGGGAUCAAUAAUUUAAUAAUAAACACAAAUGGAAUUGUUGCAGGCAUAAAAGAACAAAAAUCUGCAAAUGGAGGCCUGGGAGAGGGCAGGCUCUGGGGGAGAUGGGAGCCAGCUGUCAGUAAAAGCCUUCACCAACAGGCUUUUGCUCUGUGGCUGCAGUUCCCUUUCCCAGCAGCCCCGAGGUGGGUCUCCAGGGAGCCCUCCACAGCAGCCCUUCUGUGACCUCAUGCGCUGAUGGUUGUCUCAGCUACAGGAGUGGAAGGCGCAGCCAAGCAGCCGCUGGUAUUUCUGUGUUGCAUAUGGGCUGGGGUCCCUCCUGUCCUUCUCUCCUACACGAUCCCAGAUCUGAUUUCUAAUGGUGUUGUAUUUCCUCCCUAAAUCAUUUUUCAAUAGUAUUUUUGUUCUUCUGUGGGAUACAGAAGAACUUUUUUUUCCUAUUGCAAUAAGGACAAGUAAACAAGUCAGAAGCCUCAGAAGACCUCAAGAGAGAAAUCACAGCCUUCAAUUCCUGGUCCCUUUCUGAAACCUCAGCUCUUGAUUCACUUAAUUUCAAGGAGAAUUGUUUUAUGACUACGCCAAGCUGACCCAAAGACCCCUGGGAAGCACGUGGCCCAUCAGAGGGAAGGGCUAGGCCCUGGGGCUGGAAAGGAUGCAGAGCCUGUUUUCAACAAUUACGUCUACAUUUUCCAAGAGAUUAAACCGAUUGGAAGCCAAGCAUUGGAGAAGAGAUCUUUUGUCUUCCUUGGCAACAUUUCUGAAAUCUACAGAUAGGGAUGAGGAAGUGAGGCACAUUUUUCAUCUGUUCCAACAAACUGCCAAUGGAAUGGCUGACAUGCCAUUUUAGUGUAUGUCAUCUCUCCCGUGUUCCGUCAUCACUGAGGGUCAGCUGGGCCCUGCCCUUGAAUACAGCACAGGGCUGGUGUCAUGGAGCCGGCCUUCCUUACACUAAUGAACCGCAGGAGCCUCCCCUUGUCCCUUGCCUGGGGGGAACUAAUGGCAUUGCAGGGCAAAGGCUCAGCAGGGACCCUGUAGAUAGAGGAUAGAUCGGCACCCAGGCGUCUUACAGGGUGGACCCCAUGCUGGCAGGGUGGGAAGCCAGAGAAAAGAGGCUUGGAAGAAGCAAAGGGAACUCUCAAGAGGGUGCAGAGAUGAACGUGGCUUGCACCUGGAGAAUUCCCAGCCAAUGUGAGCUUGACGCCCCUCUCCUUUCCACCAAUCAGAUGGCACUACCACCUCCUCCUAAUUCCUCUACCAAUGAAAACUAGGUUCCUUUACCUUAUCCACCAAUCAGGGCUUUGGACAAAGAAUAAUCUUAUCAAACCCCACAUGGAUUCACACGCAUCUGGUAGCUUGGUUGUUGACUGAUACAAGUAUGGACCCCCUAGAAGGAACAACAAAUGGAGCUGCCGUCUAUAUACACACGUCGAUUUAGGUCUCUGUCUCUGGCAACUGAAAAGAGACCCAACAAAACAUCUUACAGAGCACCAGGGCCAAUUCUUGAUGCGUCGUUAGAUUCUGUGUAGCCAGAAAGCAGAAACAGAAACAUAUCCAAGCCAGGCGGAGGAAAAACUUUGAGGCCUGUUUAUCCAGGUUCAAGACAAUUUCUAUUUAAAAAAAAAAAAAAGAAAAAAAGAGAGAAAAAAAAAGCUCAUAACAGAAUAAGUUCAGCUUCUCCUGAGUGUCAGAGCUAAGAUCUAACGCCUCUGCUGGUUUCCAUGACAACCACCAGCAGCUACAAUCAUGCCGAACCAAGAACCAGAGGAUUCAGUAACUUUACCUUGAUUCUGUGGCCAGAUUAUUGCCAAUUUUAAAAGGAAAUGCAUAGUGAGCCCCUGUCUCUGUUGUGUCUUCAGUUGUCCCUUGAAAUCUGGAUAUCUUGACAAGAGGCCAGGGCCUAUCCUAUCUCAUCUCCCCAAGCUAGUGUCCUUCCCAGAUGAAUUUCUUCUGGCGCUGGUGAGAUUACUUGGUGACCUAGUUCCGACUACACAAGUUAUGCUGUCGUGAUUGCUGGGGGUAAUUGCUCAAAAUAGCUCUCUGAUUUGUUUCAUAAACAGGCUCUGUGGCAGGCUCAUGUCGUUUUUUCCCCAAAGAAGAGAUUCCAGAGACGAGGCCUUCACUGAGAGCUUGCUCCUCUACCUCCUGUGGGUUUCAGGGCUGGGACGGGGGACACAGAGAAUCUGUCUCUCGCGAAUGCCAAGUUGAGGUCCUAGCCUGGCUAGGAACUCUUGCAUUCCCCUUGCCUCGCUGUAGCCUCCCCUGGGAACAGACCUUCCAGGAGGGUCGCACCGAGUGAUGAGACUGUUGCAUGAGGCUCUGCAGUGCUUGGACACAGAACUGCACUGCGGCCUUCCAGAUGCUCAGCUGGAAAACCCCUGAGAACCUGAGGCUUUUCUACAGCACAUUAGAGCUUAUGACUGGAGAGUGUCUACCGCCUGAGGGCAGGGAUGAGAUUUUACCUAUCCUAUUCACCUGCUUAGGUGCCCA